rnacentral:snoRNA from 1 species
GACCUCCUGGGAUUAUGUCUGGAGAGUGGCUAGUAGUCUACCAACUUCAAACAUGGGAAGGAAAGCAAGCUUGGCAGAGGUACCCAUGGUAGCUGGCGAUUAGAAGACACUCUGCAAUUCAA